CACCCCCCCAGCUGUCCCCUGGGAACUUGCUGCCACGAGGCCUCUCGGUGCUCACCACUCUGGCUCUGCCGUCCCCCUCUCUGGCACAGAUGUUCUCCUGCCUGGCUCAUCCUCUCUGCUCCGUGUUACUUCUCUGCAUCCCCUCCCCUCUGCUGCGCCUGUUACCCAUUUUCCUCACUUGCCGAGAGGUGCAGAGUGCACCAUGGAGAAUGCUGCCUCUGCCUCCCAUGUGCUUCUUUGAGGCCCAGGGAAGGUUCCCGUUGGCUCCUGCCACGUGUUUUGCAGCACCACAGGUCUGGGACCGGCUUGACCCAAACUCCCAGUUUCCCCCAUAUACUUCUCGGCAGGUCCGGUUUCCUCCUCUCUGAAACGCCUUUUGCCCGUCUUUCUGUUGAGCUGCUGGUCUCUUUGGUGCGGAGUUGUGGGAGCUGGUUCUGAAGCCUGGGUGCUCAUCUCCCCUUGGUUGUUUGCGUUUCAGAUUCCUCCUCUGGCCCUCGGGGGCUGCUCUCCUCCUCCCUUUGCAUGCCUGCUUUGCACUCGGCAUUCACCUAGACUCUGGAAGUUGACUCUCCAAGUCCACAGGAGGAAGCUGCAUCACAAGGCACCUGCAGUCACCCACGAGCUACUUUGCCGCCACUGCUUAGGUGUGGUGCCUGCACACAGAGGGUGGCCCAGCCGAGUUGGAACCUUGGGAGUUUCCGUGAACUUCUGGCAACCUCCUCACUUGCAUUCAUAUCACAAGCCAGAAAAGCACCUUCAAUCGGGGGCGGGGCGAGGCUCAAUUCCAUGUUUCCAUCUUCUGAGUUUCAAUAACAUCUUCUUUACUGUCCUCAGUCUCUGAGCAAACAAGCAACGACCCCCGCGCCAGGCCCUCCACAGCUUGAGGGAGGGCAUCCAAACGUCACACUGUGGCUGAGUGACAGUGUGUGGUCCAGCUUAUUUGUUUACGAGAUUCAGGUGUGGGGGAUCUGGAGCACGUGCUGCCAUCCCAUAGCUAUGGUGAUGGGGGCUUGAAUGGGUGGACUAAUGCACUCUGUUGCAGAAGACCCACUCGGCCAACUCCUGAGUAUCUGCAUGCUCGCUGUGGCGACUUUGGAAAGUACAGAAAGUAUACGAAGAAUCAGGACAAAGGUUGCUCAGGAGGCACUGCCCGGAGGCGUGAAUGCUCACAGUUUGGGUCUAUUUCCCCACUUCUGUUUUUGCUGAGGAAGAUUAGCAUUGAGCUAGCAACUGUGCCAAUCUCCCUCCAAUUUAUAUGUGGGUCGCUGCCAUAGCGUGGCUGGUGAGUGCCCCAGAAUCCAAACCUGUGCCCCCGGGCUGCCGAAGCCUAGGGCGCUGAACUUAAGCACUAUGCCAUGGGGCUGACCCUCCCCCCAUUCUUUUUCCGUGUAGUUCCUCUUUACUCAGUUGAGCUCCUGCUGUGUGACCGUUCUGUCUUAUGUUUUUUCGUUUAACAUUAAGUGUUAUCCCAUGUUCUGAAAGAGUCCUCAGAAGACAUGUCACUCAGGUCUGCACCUUGUUGUGGAGUGUAUUGGAUUCCAGGCUCUCCCUGCUCAAGCCCAACUGACAAAUGUUCGAGAAUGGCCCAGCACACCUUGGACCCAGUGACGUCCUCUGGUCAGAAACUCCAGCACGGGGGUCCUCCUGAAGUGGACGCGGAGAGCGAGUUUAUUGAGACUCCAGUGUCAAUGUCGGGUUGGACGCUGUGUCCAACAGCCUCCCACGGUCUGGUGAUCGGUGGUCAGAGACUUGAUCAGCGAGUAGCUUCCAUGGCAGAAAGCUCCAUGCAGUGCUUGGGGGUUGUGAGUAUGAAAACAAAGUAUACUAAGACUAAUUUGUUGGUACACUGUAAAGUAUUCUCCUUUCCUUCCUCUGAGUAUUCCUGCCUUCUUGAUCUUUCUGACUUUCCCAAGACAAAGAGAUGUCAAAUAUAUAAUGAUGGAUAUUAAAACAAACAGACUCCUAAUGCUCAUUACUGUGAAGAUAUAGCAGUCUAGUUUGCGUUUUCCUUGUGAAGAGCCUAUACUGGGAGCCUAAAGGUUGGGAUGUGAGCCCAUUGUUUGCCUUCCAAGGGCCCAUGAGGACAGUAGCACUCCCUUUUUUGAUUUAUGUGUGUCCAUGUGGUUCAUAGGCUGGGCCAGUGCAUAUGGCCCACAGAGGGGCUGAAGGGUGUGUGGCCAGGAGGUGGUGGAAUGACGAUGUCCAGAGUUUGGGCUUUAGGGUCCGGGGACCUGGGUUUGGACAUCAACUCUUCUCUUCCUGUGACCUUGGAACUUAGUGUCUCUGUCCUCUCUUGUAAACCAGGUGGCACAAAUGCUGCUUCCCUCACAGGGCUGUUUCCAGAGCAGAGCCUUGUAUAUCAUGUCCUCUCCUGGUGAGGCUCGAGUUCUCAAUUUUUGCUUCUACUCUGCAGGUUGGAGGUUAUUCCAGAAACACUGACUAUGAAGAUUUUUCUUGGUUCCCAGGCUUUGUAAAUUUCAGAGUUUUCUAACAGUGGUCAAGGGACUAUGAUGUGAACUUGGCAAAAGUCCCUUAUGCUCUUUGGAAGAUCUCAGUUGUGCCAUGUAGAAAAUGAGAUGAUUGGUCUAGAAUAAUGGUUCUCACACUUUUGUUGCCGUGGAAUAUCUUGGUCUGGCCAGAGGUUCCACCCCGCAAACAAAUCAGAGGCAGGCUGCUCAGCUAAAGCAAGGCCCAAUCCACCCACUCCUUCUUCCCAAUCUCUCCUUGGGCCAUUCUCCAUAGAGGCCCAUAAAGCACGCCACAGAACACAGUUUGAAAACUGGUGUUCUAGAUCUGUGGUUCUCAAACUUUAAUGAGCAUUCAGAUCCCUCAGUGAUCUUGUCAGAUGUAGCUUCUGAUUCAGAAGUUCUGGGUGCACUGGAGAUUCUGCAUUUCUGACCAGAUCCCAGGUGAUGCCUAGGUGGCUGGUCCAUGCAUAGCAUUUUGAAAAGAAAAGUCUCAUCACAGAAUGCCUUGUACAUCUCAAAUCCUUUGAUUUUGAGUACUUAUUGAUACUCUGAUUAUAUCAUAAAUUGAAAAUUUGUAUAAGAUGAAUUUUUCUAUUGGGGGCAAAAUCCUCGAUUAUGCAGAUGUAGAAACUGACCUUCUGUGAUAUGAAGGAGACAGCAAAUAUUUGUUUCUCUCCCAACUUUGAAUGUAUGAAGCAUCUGUAAAAUAUUUUGUAAGGAGCGCAAUUUGAGUUAAGAGGUUGUUGAAUUAUCCAUGCGAUCAGGGAAAGUUGCACUUUUUUUGGUUGUAGUAUGGAUCCUAAGGACGUCUAAUUAUGGGAGUUAAUGGACACUUUUCCAAGGGAGCUUAUGGCAGAAACAAGUGUGACCUGCUC
ensembl:lncRNA